rnacentral:miRNA from 2 species
GUGCCUACUGAGCUGAUAUC